AUUGAACGCUGGCGGCAUGCCUUACACAUGCAAGUCGAACGGCAGCACGGGAGCAAUCCUGGUGGCGAGUGGCGAACGGGUGAGUAAUACAUCGGAACGUGCCCAGUAGUGGGGGAUAGCCCGGCGAAAGCCGGAUUAAUACCGCAUACGACCUACGGGUGAAAGCGGGGGACCGCAAGGCCUCGCGCUAUUGGAGCGGCCGAUGUCAGGAUUAGCUAGUUGGUGGGGUAAAAGCCUACCAAGGCGACGAUCUGUAGCUGGUCUGAGAGGACGACCAGCAAAACUGGGACUGAGACACGGCCCAGAAUCCGACGGGAGGCAGCAGUGGGGAAUUUUGGACAAUGGGCGCAAGCCUGAUCCAGCCAUGCCGCGUGCGGGAAGAAGGCCUUCGGGUUGUAAACCGCUUUUGUCAGGGAAGAAACGCUCCGAGAUAAUACCUUGGAGUAAUGACGGUACCUGAAGAAUAAGCACCGGCUAACUACGUGCCAGCAGCCGCAGUAACAC
rnacentral:rRNA from 1 species